UGAGGAAUAUUGGGCAAUGCCCGAAAGGGUGACCCAGCAACGCCGCGUGGAGGAUGAAGGUCGUAAGAUUGUAAACUCCUGUUAGAGGGGAAGAAUAACUAAGUUUGGAGCUUAGUAUGACUGUACCCUCAGAGAAAGCCCCGGCUAACUACGUGACAGCAGCCGCGGUAAUACGUAGGGGGCAAGCGUUGUCCGGAUUUACUGGGUGUACAGGGCGCGCAGGCGGAAUGGAAAGUCAGUGGUGAAAUCCUACGGCUUAACUGUAGAACUGCCUUUGAUACUUUCAUUCUUGAGUUCGGGAGAACGAGACGGAAUUCCAGGUGUAGUGGUGAAAUACGUAGAUAUCUGGAAGAACACCAGUUGCGAAGGCGGUCUCUUGGUCCGAUACUGACGCUGAGGCGCGAAAGCGUGGG
rnacentral:rRNA from 1 species